rfam:Stegodyphus mimosarum contig92676, whole genome shotgun sequence.
GUCCGCGUGGCCUAACGGAUAAGGCGUCUGACUUCAAAUCAGAAGACUGCAGGUUUGAAUCCUGUCGCGGACG